rnacentral:tRNA from 1 species
GAUUAAAUGGCUGAAGUUAGGCAAUAAAUUGUAAAUUUAUUUAUGAGAAAUUAUCUCUUUAAUCA